rnacentral:rRNA from 2 species
UGGGGAAUAUUGCACAAUGGGGGAAACCCUGAUGCAGCGACGCCGCGUGAGUGAAGAAGGUCUUCGGAUCGUAAAACUCUGUCCUUGGUGACGAAAGAAAUGACGGUAACCAAGGAGGAAGCCCCGGCUAACUACGUGCCAGCAGCCGCGGUAAUACGUAGGGGGCGAGCGUUAUCCGGAUUCAUUGGGCGUAAAGCGUGUGUAGGCGGUUUAUUAAGUCUGUGGUCAAAUGCUAAAGCUUAACUUUAGUACGCCGUGGAAACUGGUAAACUUGAGUAGAGUAGAGGCAAGUGGAAUUCCUAGUGUAGCGGUGGAAUGCGUAGAUAUUAGGAGGAACACCAGUGGCGAAGGCGGCUUGCUGGGCUCUCACUGACGCUGAGACACGAAAGCGUGGGUAGCAAAUAGG